UGGGCAAGGGGCCGCCAGAGGGCUUGCUCCACCGUUUCAGGACCUCCAGCCAGAAGCACUGAGGGGUGAGGGGACCCCGUGAGGAGAAAUUCAGUUCAGCACUAGAGUUGACAGCAACACUUCAGUAACUCAUGGCACAAUCUCCCCUGUGCAGACAUCACAGAGGCAAUGCUUGUGAAACACAGAGAAGUUUCGACAGUGCUGGAAUUGGAACUAUUGCUCAAGGUCCAUCAGAAGCUCCCGUGCCAUGUGUGCUGGCUGCGUGUGCCACAGCUGCUUCGCGCCCACCUCCAGCCUGCGCUCUGGGCGAUGGGUGUCCGGCUGGCAAGGGAAUCCCAGCAGGCUGCUCCGAGCUGUAGGAAUACACUCCUUCAUGGAAGGACAGUCAGACCACAGGAUCAGGAGACCCACCCCCGGGACAGCAGGGGCUCCUGGAAGCAAGGAAGUGCCAAGAAAUGGUUGCGGGGUAGGGCAGCCCAUUCACUGUUCACCCCUGAGCAUCAGCCUGGGGGCUUUGUGUUUCAGUAAAUGAG